GUCGGCAUGUUCAUUUCCUCUGCAGAUGCCCACUGGAUGUAGCAAUCAGACAGACACACUGGAGGAUACAUGCCUCCACAGUAGGGGUCAAGCAAGCAGGGCUUUAGGCUCUUGUAGCACUCAGUACUUGGAGAUGGGCUUCCUCUUACUUAGUAUCAGCUUUCUCAUGGUUAGGUGCCUCACUUACACUCGCCUGGGCUACUCCUUGAAUUGCAGAGAGAUGGGCGCUUCCCAGGGCCCACACUACUGCCCCUGUUAUGACAAAGUUUAGCUUUGCCUUCCUUUUGUUUAAGAGUGUCCAAUUAGAGUAAUAGUUUCUCCAUCCUGGUAGCAUAAAAGAGUACAGCAGCAUGAGGGAAGAACCUACCCUACCUGCUGGGGCUGGGCAAGAGGGCUGCAGUGCCUGUCCUCAAAGACCAGCACAACUUCCAUUUCCGUCACCCUCUGCACCAACAAGAGGUGUCUCUCACCUGCAGGUCACCACAGCUGAGGCAGCUUUAGCUGUAAAAUCAGACUGACAAGAGAAAGGUGGGGAAGUACUUCCAACAUUGGGGAAAAAAUUCAGUGCCCACAAGAUAAAAUAUGUUCAGUGGGUAAUACAGCGUCUGGAUGCUGAAAUUCCUGCAGCUGCCACUGGAAAAUUGAUCCUGGCUUGUUACGAUGAGAGGGGCUGGAACCUGUGCAGAAUGUCAACGCCGAGAGCGAGGGACGGAGCAGAUGGGUGAAGUGCAGAAAUAAAUUUCCAAUGCAAGCUUUAAAUAUAUGUCUGCUGGCAUUGAAAUCUACGCUUCUGUAUGAUUACAGCAG